GUGGCGAACGGGUGAGUAACACGUGGGUGAUCUGCCUUGCACUCUGGGAUAAGCUUGGGAAACUGGGUCUAAUACCGGAUAUGAACUGCCUUUAGUGUGGUGGUUGGAAAGUUUUUUCGGUGCAAGAUGAGCUCGCGGCCUAUCAGCUUGUUGGUGGGGUAAUGGCCUACCAAGGCGUCGACGGGUAGCCGGCCUGAGAGGGUGUACGGCCACAUUGGGACUGAGAUACGGCCCAGACUCCUACGGGAGGCAGCAGUGGGGAAUAUUGCACAAUGGGCGGAAGCCUGAUGCAGCGACGCCGCGUGGGGGAUGACGGCCUUCGGGUUGUAAACUCCUUUCGACAGGGACGAAGCUUUUUGUGACGGUACCUGUAUAAGAAGCACCGGCUAACUACGUGCCAGCAGCCGCGGUAAUACGUAGGGUGCGAGCGUUGUCCGGAAUUACUGGGCGUAAAGAGCUCGUAGGUGGUUUGUCGCGUCGUCUGUGAAAUUCCGGGGCUUAACUUCGGGCGUGCAGGCGAUACGGGCAUAACUUGAGUGCUGUAGGGGAGACUGGAAUUCCUGGUGUAGCGGUGAAAUGCGCAGAUAUCAGGAGGAACACCGAUGGCGAAGGCAGGUCUCUGGGCAGUUACUGACGCUGAGGAGCGAAAGCAUGGGUAGCAAACAGGAUUAGAUACCCUGGUAGUCCAUGCCGUAAACGGUGGGCGCUAGGUGUAGGGGGCUUCCACGUCUUCUGUGCCGUAGCUAACGCAUUAAGCGCC
rnacentral:rRNA from 1 species